rnacentral:rRNA from 1 species
GAUGAACGCUGGCGGCGUGCCUAAUACACGCCAGUCGAGCGAACAGAUGAGGAGCUUGCUCCUCUGACGUUAGCGGCGGACGGGUGAGUAACACGUGGAUAACCUACCUAUAAGACUGGGAUAACUUCGGGAAACCGGAGCUAAUACCGGAUAAUAUAUUGAACCGCAUGGUUCAAUAGUGAAAGACGGUUUUGCUGUCACUUAUAGAUGGAUCCGCGCCGCAUUAGCUAGUUGGUAAGGUAACGGCUUACCAAGGCAACGAUGCGUAGCCGACCUGAGAGGGUCAUCGGCCACACUGGAACUGCGACACGGUCCAGACUCCUACGGGAGGCAGCCGUAGGGAAUCUUCCGCGAUGGGCGAGAGCCUGACGGAGCAACGCCGCGUGAGUGAUGAAGGUCUUCGGAUCGUAAAACUCUGUUAUUAGGGAAGAACAAAUGUGUAAGUAACUAUGCACGUCUUGACGGUACCUAAUCAGAAAGCCACGGCUAACUACGUG